UCAUGUUUUCUGAAAGCCUAAACACUGUCAUGCAAAUCAAACCCCUUCAUAAAUGAUUAGAGGUGUUCUCAGGAGAAGUGAGGGUCUGGGUUCAGGUUCAGAUCAAACCAUGUUCUCUACACUUCUACUCUUGCUGUUAACAGCUACAUCUGGUAUUAAAUGUAUUGAACUGGUUCAGCCUGCAGUCAUGCUGGUUAAGCCUGGAGAAUCAUUUUCAGUCCCCUGUAAGAUCACUGGAUACUCAGCCACUAGUUACUGUACUAACUGGAUACGACAAUCAGGACAAAAACUGGAAUGGAUCGGCUGGUACUGCAGCUCCAGUAAUACUGGCAGCAGCGAUUCACUAAAGAACAAGAUCCGUUUCUCAGCUGAAGCCUCCACCAACACUGUGACUUUACAUGGGCAACAAUUUCAGACUGAGGACACAGCUGUGUAUUACUGUGCACGAGAGCCACAGUCAUUCUGA